CCAAGCUGGUAUAGUUAAGAAGGUUAUAACACUCCCCUGAUAAGGGAACAUCGGUGGUUCGAUUCCACCUACC
rnacentral:tRNA from 1 species